rnacentral:lncRNA from 1 species
CUCCAUCUCAGUUUCCACAGCUGCCUCUUCUGACAGGGCUGGUUUUGUUGCAGAACACGAGCUGUGUAACUCAAUUGCCCAGACAAAACCAGGCUUAGCUUGGUUUAGGAGCUGAAUAUGUUAGCAGCUUAGUGGAAAAUGAGAGCAUUUGACUGGAAGAAAUGAAAUCAGCUUUUGAAAGAAUGAAAGUGAUCGUGAACAGCAACAAAGAGCAAGAUUUCACGAACAAUGUAUCAGCUGUAGCCAUCAUCGACUGCUGAUUAGCAAGCUGUCAGAUGAAGAAAAAAGGUAAUUCCACAAGCUUUGCAUCAGUGAACCUGUGGUUUUAGCAGCCUCUGCCUGUUUCUGCUCUUCCUCCAUCAAAUAAACAUGUUUGCUGGCAAAACUUCACAGAUAGAAGGCACUCUUUCUGGCGCUAUUGCAAAGCUCCAUCGUGACAGUACCCACACCAGGUGCCUCAUUUAUCGGUGUGAGGACCCUGGCCGCAGUCGUCAAACCCAGCAAGGCAGCCACACUUUCUUCUGGUCUUCACGGCUGUGGCGUUUGGGGACCACUGCUGAAAGGACGGCUGAUGAUGCUGGUGCCACUCUGUGGACCCAGGAUUGGUGUAAACACGUGUCAGCUCUCUGCUCUGUCUGCUGCCCGUCGCACAUCCUCUCCUUUCACGUGGAGGUGGCCCUGCGUACAGCCCAGCAGGAAGUUCGCUUUGACUAGCAGCACCGCUCCGAUCAAGUCUCCCAUCCACCGACUCCUGGUGUUCGUCCAAUGUGAUGUCCUCGAGCUAAUGCAGUAUCAACACACGUGUGUGCGUGGAACUUAAGAUUUUACUUCUGGAACAGCAUGAUUUUGGCCUUGAGGAAUUUGUUUCCGGCUCUCCGACAGUCCCCACCACGUCCUGUCUGCAGGCUUGUGCGGAUAGUGUCUGUCAGUCAGGUUCUUGGUGUCUGCGAAAUCCCUCACACCGGCUGUCCCUGCCUACAGCGUCCCGUGUGUAUAAACCCUGCCAAGCACAGGGGACGCACUGUAAGUCCGCCCUCUCUUUCUCAGGGAAGUCGUUGUGAAGCACAGAGGUAAUCUGAACUUGGGAAACUGAGGCUGGAUUCCAAAUAAGUUAGAGACUUAGUGAAGAAAAUUCAGGUAGUCUUGUUUAACUUGGCUGUCCCUUCCUGGGGACUUUUUUUGUGGGCGUGGCUAUGAAACAUUCUUCACCCCAAAGGAGUCGUUCUUUCACUGCAUGAGUUUUUGUUGCAGCCUGCACAGAACACUGAACCACUCAGGCUGGUCAGUUCACCUUUUUCUGGCUUCUAUGGCCUCUUCAAAUACCAUCAGUUUCAGAGAAACAACGUAUAGAUUUCUGGGUUUUUUUUAGAAACUUUAUUGAAGUAUAAUUAACAUGCCAUAAAAUUCACCUGUUUUAAGUAUUUAAUUCAGUGAUCUUUGGUAAAUUUAAAAUUAGAAGCGUUUACAGUUUUACAGCCAUUGUCACAAUCUGAUUUUAGAAUAUUUUCUUCGUCCUCAUCUCUGUUAUGUCACGAAUGUUAUUUAAAUGAAAUAUACAGUACAUAUCCUUUUGAGAUUAACAUUUUUCACUUAACGUAAUUCAGGUGAGAUUCCUCCAGGUUCUUGAGUAUGUCAAUAGAUUUUUCCUUUUUGUUGCUAAAUAGUAAGUAUUCCAUUGUAUGAGUGUAGCACCCACUUAUCCAUUCACCAGUUGAUAGACAUUUAGAUGGUUUCCACUUGGCUGUUAGGCAUAACGCUACUAUGAACGUCUUGAAUGAGUUUUUGUCUGGACACACAUUUUAACUGCUCUUGGAUGUGUAUGCCGAGGAGUGGAAGAUUUCUGUUUUAGUAUAACCUUUUUCUCUGUUCUCAUCCUCUGUGGAUUUCCAAAUUAGAGAAAGACAUUUGUUUUCUCUCACCCUUUGAAAUUAUGACUUAGUGACAACCCAACAUUUUAACAUCUUUUCUACAGCUGACGAAAGUAAUAUCCAUCUUGUAGGUGAAUGGCUAGGAAGGCAAUUUCCUUCCACUUCUAUAAAGUCAAAAAUCUCAUUAAGUGUUUCAGUCAGUUUUAAAGAAACUGAGAGAUGGACCAAUACGACACUUUCCUUCAGAGUGCCUCUUUACUACUCCAGGUAAGCGCACUCCUUUUAGCAGUGUUGUGUACAGGUGUGUACUGGAUCUUUAGCAGUAAGAUCUUUUCAUUUACUUUGCAGGUUUAUAGAGGAAGGGAAUUGCCAAAAUUUACAUAUGCACGGUCUGCCGAACAUGUUGAUAGAUGAGCAAAUUCUAGUUUGUAUUUAAAAGGUUACAGAUACUCUUUGGUUUUAUAUCUUCUACAGUUUCAGUAAAAUCUUCAUGGAAUCAAAAGACAAUUUGAAACUCCAUUUUUCAAAGCAAAGUACCUAAGAACUAUGGGGACCUUCUUUGCUCUUGUGGUUGGCCACGUCCCUUGAUAUGCAGCAGAAAGGCUGAUCCUCGCUGAGAUGGGACAGUCAGCCCCACAGGGAAGAGGUCCAUAUUCUCUUCUCAAAAUCUUCCCCUUCAUUUCCCCACAGGACAUUUUAGUUUCAACCUCUGAAUUAAGAUUUAGAACUCUGUCAGUUUCUAGAGUAAUCAUGGACAGUCAACAUAUAAGGAUGUGUAUUCCUCUGUGUGGUACUUCAAGCUAAUUCAGUAGCCACUGUCUUCAACUGAGCAUUGGUGUCUUUCGGGGAAAAGAAAACUUGAUUGAUUUACAAUACUUGCCUGUCUCAUCUAGGCCUUGUGAGAUUCAAUUUUCAUAUAUGGAUUCAAAUCUCCUUCUCUAACAUGACCAAUCCCCAAUAUUUUUCUGCAUAACAUACAGGACACUGUUUGGGGGACUUACCUCUCAUCCAUUUGUAAGAGUCCCUGUCAUUAAAAUAACACAGUUUUCUAACAUUAUUUUUCAGUCAUGUCUGGGUCAGCCUGGUGUUGCUAUCAUAAUCAUUAUGAUUUUAUUAUCUGAACUCUGCUAAAGUAUUUGCAAUGCUAAAAGUGAAUUAGUGCUGUCUCUAUACAAAGCACAGCAGUUAAUGCACAGGCAGAUCAGCGCCGACCAUUAGCGCCGACAAUUCCACACACUCAGAUUGCAUCAGGGAAUGCUCUAGAGGGAACCCCGAAUCCUGCUUGCCAUCAUCUGCAGUGGUCUGGGGAAAGGUCAGGGAGCGCCACUGUGACCCUUGACACUAAAAAUAGGAUUCGGCCUCUACUUUGGGGGUGCCAUGUAGGUCUCGUACUUUCCCCCAAACCUUUUUCACUCAUCACUGAAAUCUGGGAUUUUUCACAUCCUGAGGGGUCAUUUUCCGCAGGACUUUUGGUGCUAAACCCCAGACUGUCCCAGGCAGACUGGGUGUUCACCUUACAUCAGGAUUCUUAAGGCCCCUGGGAGAGCUUGCAAAGUCAGGGCUGCAGUUGACUGACUCCGCCCAUUCCUUUUAGCCUCCUCUCCUCCAGGUCGCAGCCUUCCUUGUCCAGCCCUCGGCUUUCCGUCUCCUUCCUUCGCAGACUUUUCACCGGGAAGUCCAGGUUCAAGCGUGGAUGUUGCUGCUCAGUCAGCUGUGGACUGGCCUCGGGUAAAUUAUUUAUUAGCUUUAAUGAGCCAUGGUUUCCUCAUUAUAAAAUGAGGAUUAAAAAUGACUACAUUAGGGGCCGGCUCCGUGGCCGAGUGGUUAAGUUUGCGCACUCCGCUGCGGGGGCCCAGGGUUCGGAUCCUGGGCGCGGACAUGGCACCGCUCGUCAGGCCACAUUGAGGCGGCAUCCCACAUCCCAAAACUAGAAGGACCUGCAACUAAGAUAUACAGCUAUGUACAGGAGGGGUUUGGGGAGAUAAAGCAGAAAAAAAAAAGGAAAAAAAAAAGAUUGGCAACAGUUGUUAGCCCAGGUGCCAAUCUUUAAAAAAAAAAAAAAUGACUACGUUAUAGGUUUGUUGUAAGGAGAUAAUGACCAAAUGAAUAUAGAAUGGCUGGCAUAAUAAACGUUCAAUAAUUCUGUACUGUUGUGUGUUA